rnacentral:rRNA from 1 species
UACGUAGGGUGCAAGCGUUGUCCGGAAUUAUUGGGCGUAAAGAGCUCGUAGGCGGUCUGUCGCGUCUGCUGUGAAAACUCAGGGCUUAACCCUGAGCUUGCAGUGGGUACGGGCAGACUAGAGUGCGGUAGGGAGACUGGAAUUCCGUGGUGAUAGCGGUGAAAUGCGCAGAUAGUCAGGAGGGAACACCGGUGGGCGAAGGCGGGUCUCUGGGC